GAGGCACUGGUCAGCUGUCCUGAAAAGCUCUCCAUGAUUUGGCUUGACACAGAAAUGUCCUGGCCGGACUUGUGGAAGUUGAUCUGCUGGCUUUGUCUUUAUUUGCUUCAUCUUGAUUUCCCCCCUCCAAUGGGAAAAUAGUGAAUAUUCCUGGUUUGUGUCUGCUGUCCAACCUGCUGGCUCUUAGCAGUUAUCGACAGGAAAGGUCAGGAGCUCCUGAAGGGCCGGGUGACUUGUGAUGAUGGAGAGCAAUUGCCCAUGGACCACCGAAGGCUCCCAGGAAGAAGACUACAGAGCCGUUUCAGAAAAUAGCAAGAGUGAUGUGGUAAGUGUAUUUGAAACCAGCAGGAGAAUUUUGAGGGGAAUUCAUGGCAGUCUUUUACUGUCAUGUUUUUAUUUUUGUUUUUCUUUUAUUUUUUACAUGUAUGUGCAUUUUUAGUUUUAUUUUUCUCACAUCCAAAGGUUUAUUUACUUGACAGAAAUACAAAGGGAUAUAUAUAAAAUCAAGAACAGAAGAGAAUCCUGGUUAGUGAAGUCUAAAGCUUACACAUUUUUAAAAAGCUGUCAAAUUCUAUUAAACAUACAAAAGGCAAAAAUAAAAUCACAAUGUUUAGAUCAAUAAGACAAGAACUCUUCUAGGAAACUUUCUUUUUCUUGUUAUCUAUCUUUUCUUUGAAUCUUUAUAUUUGGG
rnacentral:lncRNA from 1 species